rnacentral:tRNA from 1 species
CCUGUAGCUCAGCUGGAUAGAGCGUCUGGCUUCGAACCAGAAAGUCGGGAGUUCGAAUCUUCCCGGG